rnacentral:rRNA from 1 species
GACGAACGCUGGCGGCGUGCUUAACACAUGCAAGUCGAGCGGACAGAUCAGGCGUUUGUGCGGUUGUCGAGUGCCGAAGAGGUGAGUAAAACGUGAGUAACAUGCCCUUGUCUGAGGGAUAACUUCAGGGAAAAGCGGCGCUUACCGGGUAGAAUCUCCUGCUGCAUGGUGGUCGUUGGAGAGUUUCGGCGGUUGGGGAUGGACUCGCGGCUUAUCAGCUUGUUGGUGGGGUAGUGGCUGACCAAGGCUAUGACGGGUAGCCGGCCUGAGAGGGUGACCGGCCACAGUGGGACUGAGAUACGGCGCAGACUCGUACGUGAGGCAGCAGUGGGGAGUAUUGCACAACGGGCGGAAGCCUGAUGCAGCAACGCCGCGUGCGGGAUGACGGCCUUCGGGUGGUAAACCGCUUUCGCCUGUGACGAAGAGUGAGUGACGGUACCGGGUAAAGAAGCACCGGCUAACUACGUG